rnacentral:rRNA from 1 species
AUGCUUUUGUGCAAAAAUUGCCAUCCAAAAACACUAAGACUGUCACCCGGCAGUUUGCAAAUGCCACCCCUAGCUCGCGAACGGUUGCGAGCUAGAGGGUUCCUAAUUUUAAUAUAUGACCUUGGCCUUCUCGCAAAAAGAAAAGGAAUGAAAUUUCGUUCGAUUCACACACAUGGCUUGGUUUUCUGUUACAGAGACAGGACUGUCCGGACGACGAUAACUGAAUCAUCAGAGUGGAGGAACAAGAACGAAGUUAAGAAUGGCGAUCCAUGUGUAGAAACAAGGCAGCCCGCUGGCCGCCUAGAGCAGGGACCUGGUCACCUCGUAGGCGAGGAAGCAGGCGCCGUUGGCCGGGACGCUGCGGGCCAUGGCCGGCCCGAACCCCCUGUACAGACCCCUGGCCCCGUCGGCGGCGAGGAUCUUCUUGAACGCGUCCAUGGAGCCCGAGUACUUUGGGUUCUUGAAGUCGUCCACCUGGAGCUUGCUCUUCACCACGUCGGUCGGGUACACGGACCCCCAGAACGCCGCCCCCGCGACCCCGCCGGCGAGGAUCAGGGAGCCCCUGCCCAGCUCCGACGUGUCCUGCCCGCCGGCAAUGAACUGCUUCGUGGCCUCGUAGACGCCGAACAUGAGCGCGUUGCCGGGGAUCUCGCGCGCCAUUGUGGGGACCAGGCCCUUGAAGAGGCCCCGCACGCCGCCCUCCGACCGCAGCACGUGCCUCGCCACGUCCAGCGGCCCGCCGUACUUGACCGCGGCAGCAUUGGCCGUGGCGGUGACGGUGGCAGCCGCGCCGCCCGCGGGAGCGGCUGCGGCGGCGGCGGCAGGAGCGGCUGUGGCCAGCGCGCUCUGCGCCUGCAGCCUGCACUUGAUGAGCUCGGUGGGGCAGGCGAGGAAGGAGACGGCGACGCCGGCCCCAGCGCCGGCGACGACCUGCUGGCCGACGGUGAGCGCGGCGCCGGGCUCGGAGCGCAGCAGGGCCUCCAUCUGGCCCCGGACGGUGAAGAGCACGGCGUUGAAGGCGGCGACGGUGGCGAGCGGGGCGCCCAUGCCCUUGUAGAGGCCCCGGGGGCCCUCGGCCGAGAUGGUCUGCUUGACGGCGUCCAUGGCGCCGGCGAACUUGGGCGGCUGGCCGGGCGGCGGCGUGGGCUGGCUCUGCAGCUUCACCUUGAUGGUGUCGAACGGGUGGCCGACGACCAGCUGCGCCGCGCCGCCCACCGUGCCGGCGGCCAGGUCCUUGGCCACGUCCCCCAUCUGCUCCCACAACAGUUUGGAUUGGGACGGAUCCCGGUUAGUUUCCUCAAUGCUUUGCUUUGCUGA